AACUGCCUGGGGUGUUCGAUACUCCUGAUAUUUUGAACCUACACUUUUGAAUUGGGAUUCCUACAUUUUUACGAGGAUGUCAAGCCACCAAAGCAGUGGAAGACAGAGACGUAAGUGCGGUUGCCCACCUGGCUGUAUAGCUAGGACUCAAAAUUCAGGAACCGGCAUUUUGGGUUAACU
rnacentral:other from 1 species